rnacentral:rRNA from 1 species
AGCGAACGCUGGCGGCAGGCCUAACACAUGCAAGUCGAACGAAGUCUUCGGACUUAGUGGCGGACGGGUGAGUAACGCGUGGGAAUCUGCCCUGGGGUACGGAACAACGCCGGGAAACUGGCGCUAAUACCGUAUACGGCUUAAGAGCGAAAGAUUUAUCGCCCUGGGGUGAGCCCGCGUCGGAUUAGGUAGUUGGUGGGGUAAAAGCCUACCAAGCCUUCGAUCCGUAGCUGGUCUGAGAGGAUGAUCAGCCACACUGGGACUGAGACACGGCCCAGACUCCUACGGGAGGCAGCAGUGGGGAAUAUUGGACAAUGGGCGAAAGCCUGAUCCAGCAAUGCCGCGUGAGUGAUGAAGGCCUUAGGGUUGUAAAGCUCUUUCGGCGGGGAAGAUUAUGACUGUACCCGCAGAAGAAGCCCCGGCUAACUUCGUGCCAGCCGCCGCCGUAA